rnacentral:rRNA from 1 species
AUACGGAAGGUCCGGGCGUUAUCCGGAUUUAUUGGGUUUAAAGGGAGCGCAGGCGGAGAUGCAAGCGUGACGUCAAAUUUCGGGGCUCAACCCCGUCUCGCGUCGCGAACUGCGUCCCUUGGUUGCGGGAAGGGGAGGCGGAACUCGUGGUGUAGCGGGGGAAUGCAUAGAUAUCACGAAGAACUCCGAUCGCGAAGGCAGCCUUCCGGCCCGUCAACGACGCUCAUGCUCGAAGGUGCGGGUAUCAAACAGGAUUAGAUACCCUGGUAGUCCGCACAGUAAACGAUGGACACCCGCGGUUUGGCCUGUAUGGCUGAGCCGCCAAGCGAAAGCGUUAAGUGUCCCACCUGGGGAGUACGCCGGCAACGGUGAAACUCAAAUGAAUUGACGGGG